CAUCACUUCCUAAUGGAAGUGGCCCCUUUAUCUAUUUUAUAGCAGUGUUACCCAGCACAUAAAGCAAACAUGACUGGUAUUCUUCUAAGUGUUUCUAAUUCUUUAUUAUACCUUGCAGCUGUCUGUCUCGGUACAACUGUUGUCCAGACUCCUCGUGACCUCUUAAAGAGCCAAGAUGAACCUGCUGUGAUCAUAUGUGAACACAAUAUACAGAACUAUGACCGUAUUCUUUGGUACAAACAGGAAAUUAUGGGCUUAAAGUUCAUGGGAUACCUUAAUCUACAAAAUGACUACCCAGAGUCUGAAUUUAAAGGAAAGGUUGAAUUGAAGGGGGAUGGAAGGAAUAAUGGCAGUCUGACUAUAAACACUCUCACACUGAAUGACAGUGCAGUGUAUUUCUGUGCAGCAUAUUACACAGUGCUCAGAAUCAGUUCUGUUGAGUACAAAAACCUCCAUCUGUUGUAUAAACUUAACAGUGACUUCACUAUAACUCUGCACCUGGAGCUGUGGGGUUUGAUUCAGUACCAGUUAACGAUUCUUGUAAUUUUGGAUAGACUUUUAAUAUUAUUAAAUUGCAUACCUUUCCUAUGAAUAGUUAUCUUUUGAUACAUCAUUAAUACGGUACCACAAUGUUUAAGCAUUAUGCUUAUUACCUAAUAUUUAUUAAUUGCCAAAUGGCAUUUAUCUCACAAAACUCACUAAGUCAUAUAUCACAAAAUCAAAA